ensembl:lncRNA
CUAUAAUGCAAACGGUUUUAGAUUACUGCUUGUAAUGAAAUUUAAAUUAAUUUGUCAGCAAAGAGAUGGCAAAAGUUUGCCUGGUUAGUUCCCAGGAAAACCACAUUGCAGCGCCACCUCGUGAUGCUGAGAGGCAUUUUGGACUCAAUCUUCAGUUUCCACAAUUCUUUGUUCAAUACAUUUUUUAAAUUAACAUGCCUAAUGCACAUUGUUAGUCAAGUGUGCAUUUGAUUUAUGUCAUUGACGUUGUUACAGUAAAGAGAAAAUUUAUAAUACUGAUGUGCUGAAAUAGGACAUUUGAAUGUCAUUAUUUGUUUGAAUAGAAAAUGGUAAGAUAGUUUUAUUUGCUAUAUUUGCUAUUUUCAUAUGUUCUUUUUUUUUUUUUUUCUUCCUUAGGGUGAACCCGGUAGACCAGGACAAUCUGGUGAGCCUGGAUUCCCAGGAUCUCCGGGGCCUCGAGGCUUUCCUGGUGCUCCAGGUCUUCCAGGUCUUAAGGGUCACAGGGUAAGAAACAAGGUUUCCCUCUCCUUAUUCAUAACGUUUCAAGACAAUUUCAGUGCAAAGACAUUCAGCUUGGUUUGUAUUUGUGGUGAAUUUGACUACACUGUUAGUCCUGCCAAUCACAGCAGAACCACUGCCAUUAGAGAGAAAGAGGGCCUUGCAGAAAAUCAGCGCUAUUCCCAGCUAAGCUGACCUCCGUGUUAUAUUCUUGUGUCUUCACUUGAUUUUCAAAUGUUCUGGGAAUCUGGAAGAAGCCUGCGUGAGCCCUGCCAAGCUUCAGGAGGCACAAACCUGACAGUUCUCUCACUUUGUUGGCAAGUCUUGUGGUAGGGUGGGGAACUCGAGAGGUGGAUAUGUUUGCAGGAUGGACUGAUUACAAAUUACUGAGUUUUCUGGCCAGAACUUUACUUCAGGGAGGAAUAAAUAGGUUUCCUAUGGCUCAGAGCCUCAUCCCUGUUGUUUUAGGAUUUUUUUUUUUUUUUUAAACUCUUGUUUUAAAAAGGAAACUAAAUCCAAGGAAAUGUACCUUUUACAAAUGGUUUCCAUUUAGAAAAAGUUUAGAAACUUUUUCCCCUUUUCCAUCUGUUUUUUAUUUUUUUCCCCAUUCUUUCUUGCUCUUGCCACCUCCGGUCCAUUCUUAAGGCUUUAACAUCGAAUUAUUUUAACAAUAGUAGAAAUUUUGUGUGUGUGUGUAUACCAAUAUAAUCUUUCCAUAUAACAUUUACAGGGACUGAAAGGACUUGACGGUCCAAAAGGUGAAACUGGAGCAGCUGGAGCAAAGGUAUUUCCAUCGCUCAAAGAACUAAACACUUAAGCAUGGCUUCUGAAAUGCCAAAAUAGUGAAAGGUAAUAGAUCUUUAGAACAAAGCUUUGUAACCUCUCCUAUGAGUGGUACUUGCACGGAGUUACAUUUUUCCUGGAGAGGCUAUAUGGAAUUGCCUAUUUUUGCUGUGUGUUCAGUCCACAUCAAAUAUUAUAAACUGGCAUGUCUGGGCUCUGUACAGGAAGAGAGAGUUUGAGUGAACUGCUGGUCACAGUUUCACUUGGGGGUCAGUUUUAGUCCUGUAGAGUAUCAUGAGGUGAAUUAACUAAGGUCUCUCUGUGACACCUACGCAGUGUUGAAGACAGUAAAUUCUGUUAGCAAAGAGCCCAUACACAUUGCUGCUUGGCUAGUAUAUGGGUCUUGUUGGUUUUGUGGAACUGGUUGAGAGACUGCUCCAUUGCUUUCUGAAUUCCCUUGGAAAUCCUCAGAUUGUAGUGACUUGGGUCAGACAAAGUUAAAACAGAGUGAGGACAGUUUUUUAAUAUUUUCUGUAGUUAAUAAAAUAAAGCAAUUAAAUCCUAACUUUCUUCUUUUAGGUUACCAUAGUAGGUUUAAACUAGAUUGGCUUAAAAGAAGCAGAUGUUGCAGAGGAGAGCAGAGUUUAUCAAACCAAAUAUUUCUCACAUAACAAUUUUAUUCUCUUAGUAUUUUUGACCCUCACUGGUGAUCACCUUUAUUACUUUGGCUCAAAGCAGUGAUAACACGGGAUAGCCAGCUGCAUUCAAUAUUUUCAAGAUGGAUUAAAAAUUAUUUUAAUAAAGCGUAGAAAACUUUUUUUUCAGGAAUUUCCAUGCUAAUCAGUACCAAUACUGAAACAUUUUGGUUUGCUGAAGGUGAUAAUCAUAGAUGGGCUAAACCUAUUCCUUCAGAUUAAAAAUGUAGUAAAUGAAGGGAAUCUUCCACAAAUGUAAAUUUAAAUGUGAAAUCAGGAGUUGAAAGCUUGUCGAAGACGAGAUUUCUUUGCUAAGACUGUCUACCACUUUCUGUGGAUGCAACAAGAGCUGAAACAUUGGACUUGACAAUACUCCAUUAAUUGAUGAAUGAAAUGAAAAUGAAAGAGAGAGAUGGGAACACAGGGGGAGAAGAAGAUGACAGUGUUUCCUGCAUACCAAGGGGAUAUGAAAUGAUGCCCUCGGAGUAGGUGUGAUGUGCACAAACAACUAUGCAAAUCUGCCUCUUAGGUCUAACAGAAGUGCAGAGGAAGGGAAUGAGACAUGUAGCUCUCUUAUCUCCUAACCUGUUCCCUCUAACUGUGUCGUUUCAUUUCACUUUCUAGGGAGAAUCUGGACCAACAGGUGCCAUGGGUGCAACGGGUCCUCUAGUGAGUGUCACGUGUAGUGGAUAUUACUCACGGAACUGUUUUUAAGAUUGUUCAUGUUAUUGUCAGUAGUGCAUGCAGGAUUUUUAUGGUUUUGAGAUCUGUACUUGAUGUCUUGAGGCUGUUUUCUCCUUAUUAAGGCUUUGUUUUCUAUUGUACUAAAAGUAGUUCUAGUCCAUUGUAAGUUGUUAUUCCUGGAAAUUCACAGGCACACAAAUAAGUACGAUAAAUUGCAAGAUUUUAACAGAAAUUUGAAUGUAGGUUUUGUAGUUUGCAUGGAAAUUUAGGGGUAACUACAUUCUUCUGCCUUUUUUUUUUUUUUUUCGCCCUCCAGUGUGUUGAUGUUUCAUCUGGAUUAGGUUAUCCCAUUCUGUGAUAGAAAUGGAAUAAUUUAGAUCAGAGAUGCACUAAGUAAGAAAAUCACAGAGAGAGG